AGACAUUAAAGCUUGAGACCGGAGUUUGUGUUGAGCACAGUCACGCGGUGAGAGGGAAAACGGACAGAAUGAUUGGGUAUUUGCAGCUGUAUUGGCGUGGUCUUGUUAAAGCUCUCACAAAAUCAGCUCUCUACCCCCUGUGAAAGGAGACAGGAUCAUCUGUGAACUUCCUUUGGUCUUACCUAACACAUUUCUAUUGGGCUAUUAUUCAGUACUUUAUGAGGGAUGCUGUUAAAGAGGCAUGUCAAGGACAGAAAACAGUGAAAGUUACUCUUUUUCUCUCUUUUAAUUUAUCCUCACUUCAGAUCUAAUUGUGCUUUACAUAAAACAUACAUUUUAACAUAACAUCCCAACUAUACCUGUGAAUAAAAAGGUUGAAUGAUGUAUUAAUAUUUCUGUCCUCGAGAUUCUGCAAAGACACAUUUGACAGGACAUGAAAGGUGACUAUUGGAGUGGAUUUAGAGAUGGAGAGAUUUCAGGGUGCCCUUCAGUUUGCAGUUGUGGGACACAGCAGGUCAGGAAAGAUUCAGAUGUGUUGCAUCCACAUACUACAGCUCAAGGGAGCUCAAGCCGUCAUUGUUGUGUUUGACCUGAGCAAUUAUAACUCUUUGGAUCAUGCAAGAGUGGCUUAAGGAUGCCAUGAGAGACAAUGACCCUUCUAGCGUUCUCCUCUUCCUCGUGGGAACCAAGAAGGAUCUUAGUCACCCGAUCAGUUGGCCCAAAUGGAGCACGAGUGCCAUUCGACUCUUUGAGGAGAUCAGAGCAGAGUAUUGGGCCGUGUCUGCACUGUCAGGGAGAGAAACAUGUCUAAAAGACUUUAGACGGCAGCUGUUUUGAUUGCAAUCAAGCUAUUUUGUGUGUCUAAGCUGAUGUCAGAAAUAAAAUCUGGAUGUUUUCAUAAAUACUUUAGUCACAUAAGAAAAUUCAGUAAGAACAGUAUUAUUGUGAGUUAUCAUGAUUCAUUAUAUUAAUUAUUUUA